AGAAAUGUUUACAUGGAAGCGUUCUUAGCGGCGGACGGGUGAGUAACACGUGGGUAACCUGCCUCAAAGUGGGGGAUAGCCUUCCGAAAGGAAGAUUAAUACCGCAUAAGCCUACAGUGCCGCAUGGCACAGCAGGAAAAGGAGCAAUCCGCUUUGAGAUGGACCCGCGGCGCAUUAGCUAGUUGGUGAGGUAACGGCUCACCAAGGCGACGAUGCGUAGCCGACCUGAGAGGGUGAUCGGCCACAUUGGAACUGAGACACGGUCCAGACUCCUACGGGAGGCAGCAGUGGGGAAUAUUGCACAAUGGGCGAAAGCCUGAUGCAGCAACGCCGCGUGAGUGAUGAAGGCCUUCGGGUCGUAAAGCUCUUUGAUCAGGGAUGAUAAUGACAGUACCUGAAAAACAAGCCACGGCUAACUACGUGCCAGCAGCCGCGGUAAUACGUAGGUGGCGAGCGUUGUCCGGAAUUACUGGGCGUAAAGGAUGCGUAGGUGGAUACUUAAGUGGGAUGUGAAAUCCCCGGGCUCAACCCGGGAACUGCAUUCCAAACUGGGUAUCUAGAGUGCAGGAGAGGAAAGCGGAAUUCCUAGUGUAGCGGUGAAAUGCGUAGAUAUUAGGAGGAACACCAGUGGCGAAGGCGGCUUUCUGGACUGUAACUGACACUGAGGCAUGAAAGCGUGGGUAGCAAACAGGAUUAGAUACCCUGGUAGUCCACGCCGUAAACGAUGGGUACUAGGUGUAGGAGGUAUCGACCCCUUCUGUGCCGUCGUUAACACGAUAAGUACCCCGCCUGGGGAGUACGGUCGCAAGACUAAAACUCCAAGGAAUUGACGGGGGCCCGCACAAGCAGCGGAGCAUGUGGUUUAAUUCGAAGCAACGCGAAGAACCUUACCUAGACUUGACAUCUCCUGAAUUACCCUUAACCGGGGAAGCCCUUCGGGGCAGGAAGACAGGUGGUGCAUGGUUGUCGUCAGCUCG
rnacentral:rRNA from 1 species